UACGGAGGAUGCGAGCGUUAUCCGGAUUUAUUGGGUUUAAAGGGUGCGUAGGCGGACGCUUAAGUCAGUGGUAAAAUUGCGGGGCUCAACCUCGUCGAGCCGUUGAAACUGGGUGCCUUGAGUGGGCGAGAAGUACGCGGAAUGCGUGGUGUAGCGGUGAAAUGCAUAGAUAUCACGCAGAACUCCGAUUGCGAAGGCGGCAUACCGGCGCCCUACUGACGCUGAGGCACGAAAGCGUGGGUAUCGAACAGG
rnacentral:rRNA from 1 species